GGUCUCACCAUGAGCCUACGUGCGAGAUCCCCUUGAAGUCGCUCCAAAUCACUAAUUAUCUGACUAAUAAAUAUCAUUACUACAACGAAGAAAGUUGUUCGAUUCAUGUCCUCACAUGCUUGGUACUUGGUGACGAUGUAGUCAGCAAUGGCCCUAACCCACUCUCGAACAAUACCCUUUUCGUGAAGCGAGCAUCCAAUUUGCUGAUUCUAGGCUUUUAGCACCUGGGUGUCAUGCUGGCUUCGAUUUCACAACUAUAGCGUAUCUUUUUCCAUCUGGCCAUCAAAGAAUAACAAUGUUCCCUAUAAGCUUUGAAGUUACUUGCCUAUCUGUCUGCCUCAUUUUCAAGGGUAGUUAUCUUUCUCCACAGAUUGGUGAUUGUUCCCUCAUAUUUGCUUUUCAUUUGUUGCACAAAUUGUGCUCGCCCUUCUGUAUUCUUUGCCUGUUGUGCCCGUACUUUUUCUAGAAUGGCCUCAAAAUUUUCUAGGUUAUCCUAACAGUCGAGUACCUUCUUCCUCAGGCCACUUAUAAGCCUUUCAUCCACACAGCUCCUUUCUGGGUUUCUAGCUGCUACUCUCAUUUUCUGAAUUUGAGCUUUGAGGGCUUCAUUAUCCUGAGUUAGCUUCUUCUUUUCCCCCCUCAUCUGCAUCAGCUU
rnacentral:lncRNA from 1 species